CCUACGGGUGGCAGCAGUGGGGAAUAUUGGACAAUGGGCGAAAGCCUGAUCCAGCCAUGCCGCGUGUGUGAAGAAGGCCUUCGGGUUGUAAAGCACUUUCAGUGGGGAAGAAAGCCUUGGGGCUAAUACCCUCGAGGAAGGACAUCACCCACAGAAGAAGCACCGGCUAACUCCGUGCCAGCAGCCGCGGUAAUACGGAGGGUGCGAGCGUUAAUCGGAAUUACUGGGCGUAAAGCGCGCGCAGGCGGUCUGAUAAGCCGGUUGUGAAAGCCCCGGGCUCAACCUGGGAACGGCAUCCGGAACUGUCAGGCUAGAGUGCAGGAGAGGAAGGUAGAAUUCCCGGUGUAGCGGUGAAAUGCGUAGAGAUCGGGAGGAAUACCAGUGGCGAAGGCGGCCUUCUGGACUGACACUGACGCUGAGGUGCGAAAGCGUGGGUAGCAAACAGGAUUAGAUACCCCAGUAGUC
rnacentral:rRNA from 1 species